rnacentral:rRNA from 1 species
UAGGGAAUCUUCCACAAUGGACGAAAGUCUGAUGGAGCAAUGCCGCGUGAGCGAAGAAGGUCUUCGGAUCGUAAAACUCUGUUGCGGGGGAAAAAGGAAGGGAAGAGGAAAUGCUUUUCUUUUGAUGGUACCCCGCCAGAAAGUCACGGCUAACUACGUGCC